rnacentral:lncRNA from 1 species
GUGCGUAAAAAGUAACUUUGUAUAUUUUUAUGUUUUCUUGGCUAAACAUAGAUUAUUACAAAUGGAAUAAAGUAUGGUUUAAGAAGUGAAAAGUGCAAUCCCAUUUUGGGGGGUAAAUUUAUGUAUGUUUACGUACAUCUGACUAGAAUUGAAUUAAAAUAUCGCACCUUGUAUACAGAAUGAAGCGGAACUAUAAAAAUAUCGUGUGAUCUCGUGUGAUUUCUCUACGAUAUCACUGUCGUCGUCGUCGUCCGUCACCACCAUCGACCAACAAACAGAGUUCUAAUCACAGCCACCGCCGCCGCCGCCGCUGCUGCUGCUGCUGCGACCGCCACUCCGACUUCCCCGCCGACUACUCUUACCAGCCAUUUACUCAAAAUUUUGUUUUGGUCUUCGAUCGGCACACGGACCAUGUAUGUGAUGUUUGCCGCUCAUCGACGGAUAUUUUACCAUUUCUCACUGGCUCCUAGCAACAGACUUAGCGAAGCACACCUGGAUUAAGCCACUGUGUAUUUUUAGGUAUGUUUUGAAAUUUUUUUUUUUACUUGCAUUUCCUGAAAAUACUUGAGAUUAUGAAGCGAGAGGUUUUUUUUCUCUCUCUCUCUCUCUCUCUUCUUGUUUUGCGUACAUUCUUUCGACUGACAAUGUUGGUCUGACACUACACAUACGCACUCACCAACACAUACAACACUGGGAAGCCAUCCAGUUCUGGCUGCCGAAUAUCUUCUGCUAUUUCCACACAACACGAAACACGCAGCUACAGUUUUCUUGUACUUUCUUCAUGAAAUUGUUUAAUAAAUUAAGGUUUAUUAAAGUUAAAGCAAACUUGCGGACAAUGCCCGAUUAUCUGCAGCGAUAAAUUAACGCAUUUUUUUUACUGUACAAAAAAUACUUAUCUUGUUUGUCGAUAUGGUAACAUUUAGAAUAAAAUAAAAAGGCUGUUGAGAAAUUGUGAACAUUUCUGAAAAGGUAUAAGCAACAUAAAUUUGUAGAUAUUCAAUAUGCGCUUUCCUAUGAAUAUAUACCCUUAUCUAAAAGAUGGAGAAGAGGAGAAAAGAAACCUAAUCGUCAAUAUUCAUCAAAUCGCACACACAUUAUAUACGAUACAUUACAUAUGCAUUGGUACAUACACACACACAGACACACACACACACACACGAAUAAUCCUUAGACUUGUUUGUUUAUACACAUAUAUUUAUUGACUUAUUUGAACAUACUUAGGUACUUAGCAUUUUUUGUAAUUUACACAGUCAGACCAACUAUUUAACCGAUUUUAUUGCAGCUACCAUCGUAUAUUCUAGACAGAUUACUGCAGCGUUACUGAUGCUGGUUGCUCUGUCAGUCGAACAUAUAUAUAUAUUGUUUCUAAGACUAAAAGAUUAACUUUAGUUUCUCUUCUGUCUCCCACCCACGAUAUAAUGCUGCUAAUCUGUCAACAUCUAACAUCGUUGCACACAACAUAAAACACACAUGAAGCUGCUUGCUGCCUUCAGAGACGUUUUGGAUGAUUAGAAUUUGUUGCAUUAUUAUUUUUUUUCUUCUGCGAUCGGCAGGUGAUACUCAAUGGUUUGUAUAUCUUUGGACCAAAUCCCGUCCUUCAGUAUGAGGAGUUUUUUUCUUUUGCUUUCCAUAUUUUUCUUUCUUACCCGUCUACUUCUAUUUAUUUAUCGAAAGAAAUUAUCUCUAACGUUUGAAAUUUAAUUUUCUCUUUGUAUUUUCUGCUAUCGUAGAAUUAAGAAGUCCCUGCCUCUAUCUACAUAAAUAAAACAUAGAUAUCAUACGUACGUUCAUUCAUACAUACAUUUCAUAGAUACAGCUGUGACUACUAUCUGUAUAUCUAUCUGUGUAUUAUAGUAUUAAUUUUCUGUGUGCUAAGAUCAAAUAUUGCGAAGAUUUUUUUUUUUUCAUUAAUUACGCGUAGGAAAGCCGAUAUUUUAGUUUUGUCAAAUGAGGGAAACAAUCGUAGUCUGCAAUAUUACCGGUAGAAUUUCAAGAAUCUGUAAUUAAUCUUUACUAUUGUAAUAUCAUGCUAUAAUUUUGCUAAUUAAAGAAUACUUUCCGAUAGAUGCUAGAUAUAUUGUUCUUAUCAAUCGCAGCAUAAGAAUAUGUCUGUUGUGAAGAAUAUGUUUUAUCCUCUUUCGAUAAUAUUUUCAAAGGAGGCAAAUAUAUGGACGCAUUCGUGUUUAAUCUAUCUUCAACAAACGCCAACCUUCUUACCCUGCCAACAACCGGCUUCAUUUACAUCUGUCAUUUAUAAGGCUUUAGACAGAACCGGUGCGAACUAAUUCUUAUACCACCUUGAAUCAUAUUUUGAACCGCAAAGAUCUCUAUCAUGGGUUCUGAAGAGGUAGAUCCACCACAGACCAUCUCUUCUCCAUUUUUUACACCAUGAUAUAAUGUCUUGCCCUUGAAAAUUUUGGCAAAAGCAAAGUUGUUGCCCUUGACAUCAGGUAAACCUUUGACCAAGCUUAGGUAUCUUCUCCCAAAGCCGGUUAUCCAUGCUAAACUUCACCGUUACCACUUGUUACUUAAACACUGGACUGAAAGCUGCCUAGUAAGUUGAACCAUAAGAGUAUGUGUUUAAGGAGUGAUCUUCAAAUGUAUUAAACCAAAUCAGGUGUACCUUAGUACUCAGUUAUAUUUUAACACUUUUCAACUUUUACCUAUUUACUACGUACAUUCUUACACUGAGACCAUCAUAGACUCCACCUCCACGUUUUGUAUACUGAUUUGUCCAAUCCUGUCACUGCCUGCCAGGCCUUUGCACUGACUGGAAAUAUCUAAAACACUCAUUAAUGAGGACUUGACAAGCUGGCUUUUUGCAGAAGAGGCAUAGCAGAAAUCCUGAAGAC